rnacentral:rRNA from 1 species
GGCGAGUGGCGGACGGGUGAGGAAUACAUCGGAAUCUACUUUUUCGUGGGGGAUAACGUAGGGAAACUUACGCUAAUACCGCAUACGACCUACGGGUGAAAGCAGGGGACCUUCGGGCCUUGCGCGAUUGAAUGAGCCGAUGUCGGAUUAGCUAGUUGGCGGGGUAAAGGCCCACCAAGGCGACGAUCCGUAGCUGGUCUGAGAGGAUGAUCAGCCACACUGGAACUGAGACACGGUCCAGACUCCUACGGGAGGCAGCAGUGGGGAAUAUUGGACAAUGGGCGCAAGCCUGAUCCAGCCAUACCGCGUGGGUGAAGAAGGCCUUCGGGUUGUAAAGCCCUUUUGUUGGGAAAGAAAUCCAGCCGGCUAAUACCUGGUUGGGAUGACGGUACCCAAAGAAUAAGCACCGGCUAACUUCGUGCCAGCAGCCGCGGUAAUACGAAGGGUGCAAGCGUUACUCGGAAUUACUGGGCGUAAAGCGUGCGUAGGUGGUUGUUUAAGUCUGUUGUGAAAGCCCUGGGCUCAACCUGGGAACUGCAGUGGAAACUGGACGACUAGAGUGUGGUAGAGGGUAGCGGAAUUCCUGGUGUAGCAGUGAAAUGCGUAGAGAUCAGGAGGAACAUCCAUGGCGAAGGCAGCUA